UACGUAGGGUGCAAGCGUUUGUCCGGAAUUAUUGGGCGUAAAGAGCUCGUAGGCGGUUUGUUGCGUCGGCUGUGAAAUCCCGAGGCUCAACCUCGGGUCUGCAGUCGAUACGAGCAAACUAGAGUGUUGCAGGGGAGACUGGAAUUCCUGGUGUAGCGGUGAAAUGCGCAGAUAUCAGGGAGGGAACACCCGGUGGGCGAAAGGCGGGGUCUCUGGGCCGGAUACUGACGCUGGAGGAGCGAAAGCGUGGGGAGCGAACAGG
rnacentral:rRNA from 1 species